ensembl:lncRNA
AUUCUAUUUCAAAUUGAAUAUCCCAUUGGUAAGUCUGCAGCAUGGAUUUUUAUAUACAGUGACAAAUUGUGCAGAAUAUACAUUUUUCCCUGGUUCGCAAUCUUUGGAGGAACCCGCCAUUGCUGCCUGCAGCUAUAUUUAGGGUUCCUCCGUCAGGAGGAAACCUAUUGUUAUUGUAGGUAUUAUUAUUAUUAUUCUUGUGCCAUUGAAGUCAAUGGCAGACCCUAGAACCGUAUGGUAACUUUUUCUGAAAUUUGGCACACUCAUUAAGGACAGUCAAUUCUCCACUCACACCAAGUUUCAUGUCUCCCACUAGACCACACUAGCGCCACCAACAGGUCAAAGUUGGACUUUUGUUAACACUGUAACUUUUUAACCGUUUGACCGAUUUUCAAAAAUGAGGUACCAUUGGAUUCCUUGGAUCAAGACGAAUUAAACACACCCUAUGGCGUCAAUUUCCGGUUAUAUAGAUUUUCCGCAAUUUCCGGUUUUAUCAAAAACCUUUGAAAGGCCUCAACUCCUACAAUUUUUGUCAAAUCUUCUUCAAAAUCACCAGAGAUGAUCUUCAGACCAAGCCUCACAACAUUUAUCCAACAGAAUUUUGAUCCUCACAACCGUUUGUCCGAUACAGCCACUCAAAUGCAGCAGAAAAGCUUUCAAACAGGAAGUGAAGUCAUAUCUCAGCAAAUCUUUCAGAUAUCAACACCAAACUUGGUAUGCACG